rnacentral:rRNA from 1 species
UACGUAGGUGGCAAGCGUUGUCCGGAUUUACUGGGUGUAAAGGGCGUGUAGCCGGGUUGACAAGUCAGAUGUGAAAUCCUGCGGCUUAACCGCAGAACUGCAUUUGAAACUGUUGAUCUUGAGUACUGGAGAGGCAGACGGAAUUCCUAGUGUAGCGGUGAAAUGCGUAGAUAUACGGAGGAACACCAGUGGCGAAGGCGGAUUGCUGGACAGUAACUGACGCUGAGGCGCGAAAGCGUGGGGAGCAAACAGG